CACAGGCUUACGACAGUGGUAGCGCUACGAACAUCGUAACCCCUAUACUUUUGCACAGCUUUACGACAGUCGUAGCGCUACGCACAUAGUAACCCCUAUACUUUAGCACAGGCUUACGACAGUCGUAGCGCUACGCACAUCGUAACCCCUAUACUUUAGCAUAGGCAUAAAACAUAAAUUCCUGAUGCAUGUUUCACACAGCGAUCGUAGCUCUACGAAUAUCACAAAUACUGAAAAGAAACAUUCUUAUUGUGUCUUCUGUAAAACACCUGAACAAUAACCCUUGACAAAAUUGAUGGCUGUUACAUGUAAGGCAAUCAAUGUUCAAUGCGCCAAUGAUCAUUUACCGGACAUACAAACAACAUCCUCUCUUCUACUUCAAGUAAAGGAGAGUUGUUAACAUUCCUUAUUUUUAUAAAUGUCUGAUAAUACACUUUUUCCAUGUAUGACUGGUGUUGGAGUGAUCUUUGACAGUUGGGUUAUUGAACUGAAGUCGUUUUUUCUUGAUAAUUUGCCGGACAUACAUAAAAAUCUCUCUUCUACUUUCUGCUACUUAACACAAGCCUUGAUAAUGAGAUCAAUUUCUUCCGGCAGGUCCAGUGAUGGAGUUUUAAUUAAUGUCUGAUAAUAAACUCUUUUAAUAU